AUGUCGGGAAAAGGCCGUGGACAUGGGGUCCCCGCCGCGCAAGCGUGGCCAGCACGACGCGGAGGCCGGCAGCUCGCCGUCGAGCCGUGGCGCUCGGCGCAGGUGUGCAACCGCGGCGGGAGCCACGGGUGGUGGCGCUUCCGCUGUAUGAGGCGUUGUGGUCGUCGACGAAGGCUCUCCGCAAGGCGGAAGUCGCACGCUUCGCCGCGAAGGAGGCGCUGGACGCCGGUGAAGAGGGCGUCGCCGCACGCUUUCGAGGCGGCGCACACGGAGUACAAGCUCGCCUAG
rnacentral:rRNA from 1 species